UACGGAGGGGGCUAGCGUUGUUCGGAAUUACUGGGCGUAAAGCGCACGUAGGCGGCUUUGUAAGUUAGAGGUGAAAGCCCAGGGCUUAACCCUGGAAUUGCCUUUAAGACUGCAUCGCUUGAAUCGUGGAGAGGUGAGUGGAAUUCCGAGUGUAGAGGUGAAAUUCGUAGAUAUUCGGAAGAACACCAGCGGCGAAGGCGACUCACUGGACACGUAUUGACGCUGAGGUGCGAAAGCGUGGGGAGCAAACAGG
rnacentral:rRNA from 1 species